rnacentral:ncRNA from 1 species
UUCAUUGCAAUAUUUGCCUUUUGCAAAUUAAUGACAAAGAAAAAUCUUCUGACGUUUCGCGUCUUUUCAUUUUAUUUCGAAAUUUUAGUCCCUUUGUUAAUUAUCUUUUUUAAUGACAUGAUUCUAUAUAUAUAUAUAUAUAUAUACAUACAUAUAUGUAUAUUAUGAUUCUAUAUAUAGAUAUCUAUAUUUCCUCUCUCCACAGAUUAAUCUAACUGUUUAAUUAAAACAAAGCCCCUGGAAAAGGCGAAAGCCUGUUGACCAGGGGUGAUUCCUGCCCAGUGCUCUGAAUGUCAAAGUGAAGAGAUUCAACCUAGCACGGGUAAACGGCGGGAGUAACUAUGACUCUCUAUAAUACCCUUUGGAGAGAAAAGUGUAUUGGCCUGAUAUAUCGGUUUCAGGAUUGCUCUAAUAUGCUAACGUGUCUUACACAACAAGAGUUGGCCAGACUGUCAAAUUGCGGAAACGACUUGUUAAGUCAUCAAUACUAACCAACUGGGAAACCAAGUUGAGGGCCUCGCAAAGGAUAUAAGUAAAAAGUUGAUGAAUAGAGUUAAUCACGCAGCCAAGUUCUAACCCACUACGUGUUUGUAGAUGGUAUGAAUGCAGUUCACAGACUAAAUGUCAGUCGGCGCAAGCUUAAGAUAUAGUCGGUCCGCCUCGAGAGGGGUUAUGAUGGAUAAAGUCUCACCAGACCCGAGCCAUCUGUCAGAGCUAAAGUCUCUGAGGAGUAAACGUAACGUAGCCAAAUGCCUCGUCAUCUAAUUCGCGCAUGAAUGGAUAAAUGACAUUCCCACUGUCCCUAACUACCAUACAGCGAAACCACAGCCAAGGGAACGGGCUUGG